CAUAUACUGAAUAUUUUCUGAUUCUUAUAGUUAAAUUUAUUCUUAUGUAAAUAAAGAUUUAUGGUAAUCCAAGAAUAUAAUCCAAGAAGUCGUUUAUUUUAAGGAAUUUCUGGUUUUUAGAGGUGUCAAUUGAAAUUGAUGUGAAAAAGUGACAAUAGCUGCAUGAACAUGACAACGAUAACCCGACUUCUCUUCAGUUGUCCAAUAAAUCCAACGGCUUUUACUAAAGAUUCCCGUGGAGCGAAUUUAAGAGUUUUAAAAGAUCAAAAACAAAAUAUACACUCAAAGUUUUGAUGUGCUCUGAUGAGAUGUGGUCAUCACCCCCAGAAGUAGCAGCUCCGUACUCGUCAUGCUUACUUUUAUCUAACCAAUACAUAAAAUAUAGAGAUUAAUAUAUAUAUAUAUGAAUCAGGCCUAUUAUAUAUUAGUCUCAAAAUUAAUUAAUUAAUUGUUUAUAUUUGUUGACUUCGAAAUAUAAUUAUAAUUUUGAAAACA